rnacentral:rRNA from 1 species
GACGAACGCUGGCGGCGUGCCUAAUACAUGCAAGUCGAACGAGUGGCGGACGGGUGCGUAACACGUGGGAACCUACACAUCUGAGGGGGAUAACACUUGGAAACAGGUGCUAAUACCGCAUACUGGUGGAUGGACCCGCGGGACAUUAGCUAGGUGGUGAGGUAACGGCUCACCUAGGCGACGAUCCCGAGCUGGUCUGAGAGGAUGACCAGCCACACUGGAACUGAGACACGGUCCGGACUCCUACGGGAGGCAGCAGUGGGGAAUAUUGCACAAUGGGCGCAAGCCUGAUGCAGCCAGGCCGCGUGUAUGAAGAAGGCCUUCGGGUUGUAAAGUACUUUCAGCGGGGAGGCGGUACCCGCAGAAUAAGCACCGGCUAACUUCGUGCCAGCAGCCGCGGUAAUAC